CAACUGCAAUCGUGCGGGCGUACGAAAAGUUACGUCCAACCACCGAGCAAGAUCCGCUGUAUAAGACGUCGCAUCCUUCCCACCUACAGCGCAAGUACACUACCGGAACACACGAGCGAGUGCUUGCUGUGGUGACAUCAGUUGGAGAGAGCGAUCGGUCGAGAUGCCUCCCGGUCCCGGCGUCGCAGACCAGGCGGCGCCGCCGCGGAGCCCUCUCCGGGGCAACGGCGCCAUGCCGCCGCAGAGCCCGCUCCGCAUCAAGCAGGACGGCAAGUUCUACGAGCGGCUCCUCACCAGGGAGAGCUCCGCGGCCAACCUGUCGUUCCGGUACUACUGGGCGGAGCCGGGCGCGGUGCCGUUCGUCUGGGAGUCGCAGCCGGGCACGCCUAAGGACGUCGCACGGACGGCCACCGGCGCGCUCCCAGCCAUCACGCCGCCGCCGUCGUACCUUCUCCGGCACGGCAACGUCGCAGUCGGUAGGCAGGUGGCGGCCGCCUCGGUGGCACGCCGUGACCCGAAGAGCGGCGGCAGGGCGGCGGCGAGGAGCGGCAAGAAGCGGCGCUGCAGGCUCAAGAGGAUCAGGAUCAGCUUCGUCGCCGGCAUCUUCCGGCGGCUCAGCCUCGGGAAGAGGUGGCGGCAGCGCCCGGCGCCGCCGGCCAAGGUGUGGUCGUCAUCGUCUUCCAGCCGGUGGCUCUUCUCCUCGGUGGCCACGGAGACGGGCGAGCACAGCCUCCACCAGGUCCAGGAUGAGAUCGCCGUUCCCGCGCACCCGAAACAGCACAGGACCGUGCCGGUGCCGUGCAGGUGCAGCUUUCCCGCCAUGUGGCUGCUGCGCUUCCGCAACAGCUUCGGCCACGGCUGGGCGUAGAAGAUCUCGAUCGCUCUCCAGCGUGGGUGGCGACAAGGAAUCGCAAGUCAGAAAGUGGUUUAUGUUAUGGUUACGAAAUAGGUUAACGAUUUCUAUCGCUGCCAGUGAGGCCAAGUAAUUAAGUGUGUUUGUUGUAUAUUGCCCAGCGCUAGCUAGGUAUCUAGCUGUGUAUAAAACUUUAUCCUUGUGUUCAUCGUGUUUAGGGAUCAUGAUUCAUGAAGUUCACGAGUUUGGAAAUAUCCGGUUAACGUUCGUAAUAUAUUAUGCAUGCGCACUUCUUCUGUUGAAC
rnacentral:misc_RNA from 1 species